UGCUGGAUGGCUCAGUUGGCAGAACAAGAGAUUCUAAAUCUCAGGGCUGUGGGUUCAAGCUCCACGUUAGGCAA